UACGUAGGGUGCAAGCGUUAAUCGGAAUUACUGGGCGUAAAGCGUGCGCAGGCGGUUAUGCAAGACAGAUGUGAAAGCCCCGGGCUCAACCUGGGAAUUGCGGUUGAAACUGGCGAACUAGAAUCUGGCAGAGGGGGGUGGAAUUCCACGUGUAGCAGUGAAAUGCGUAGAGAUGUGGAGGAACACCGAUGGCGAAGGCAGCCCCCUGGGCUGAGAUUGACGCUCAGGCACGAAAGCGUGGGGAGCAAACAGG
rnacentral:rRNA from 1 species